rnacentral:rRNA from 1 species
GACAGAGGGUGCAAACGUUGUUCGGAAUUACUGGGCAUAAAGCGCGUGUAGGCUGUCUCGAAAGUCGGAUGUGAAAGCCCUGGGCUCAACCUAGGAAGUGCAUUCGAAACUUCGAGACUCGAGUCCUGGAGAGGAUCGCGGAAUUCUCGGUGUAGAGGUGAAAUUCGUAGAUAUCGAGAGGAACACCGGUGGCGAAGGCGGCGAUCUGGACAGUGACUGACGCUGAGACGCGAAAGCGUGGGGAGCAAACAGG